UAUUAGGCACCUACCACCACGAAGCCCAGGAGAGCAGUAAGCCUAGGGUCAGUGAGGACCUGUGUGGAAAUAGCUUCAGAGCGUGUCAUGGAGAAGGCGCGGUCAAGCUUGGUGUGGGCAGGCUGUGAGGCAGAGGAAAGUUCUUCAGGGAGCUUCAACCCUAAUUCAGCUACAUGGGUAGCAGCUUAGGACUUCGGCAUAUGAAUUCUAAGGACGUCAUCAGGUUCACAGAGGUGCCUCAGAGCGACCAGUGGCAUUGAAUGCACAUUAGAGCCAAUGAAUGUCAUGGAGAUCUGGGUCCUCCUUACUCCCCGAGUGUCCUCUGCACCCCACCCUGCCAUGUGAGAGAGCAUGCGCCCGACAAGGAGGCAUCUGCCAUGUGAGAGAGCAUGCGCCCGACAAGGAGGCAUCUGCCAUGUGAGAGAGCAUGCGCCCGACAAGGAGGCAUCUGCCAUGUGAGAGAGCAUGCGCCCGACAAGGAGGCAUCUGCCAUGUCUCUGUGUAGUCCCAUUGGCGGGGAGAGCCGGCAAAUGCCUCCUGGCAUCUCCAUUGUUGGCAAUGAGGUAGAAGCAUGACCAAGAGAUGUGUCCAAGCACCCGGGAGCAGCAACACCAGUGAUGGUAUCUGUUUGAUUUUCCUAUGGUCAAUUAGCUUUGCUUUCCAAACAGUCUGGGGUCACAGCCUUCCAUCAGACGGCCUUUCCAUGCCCUGCCUGCUCUCUUCAAGACAAUGAUAGACUUAAUGAAGAUCGAUGGCCUGGUAAGGCCCUGCUGGGCUGCCUUCUCCACGGUGGGGAGAUGAGGCUAGGAGGGGCCUUAGGGGAGUGAGUGCAGAUACUACUGGGGGCUACCACACCACAGUUGCUCCUCCUGCAAAGCGCCUGUCUCCCUGUUGACUGUAUAACCAGGUUGAAAAUAAAUCCCUAAUGAAUAUGCCUGUUGGUUCCAGCCUUGCAGCCCUCAAGCGCAUUCUGUACGCUGAGCAAAUCCUAGACUGUAAAUGCAGAGCCUGUGGCAGCUUGAAUAACUUUUGUUACAACCUUCAGGUUAGAAACUGAAGCUGUCCCUCAUAACUUCCAGGAGCAGCUUUAGUCUCUUCUUCUUUUCUUCUGGCUCUGACUCCUUGAGCACUUCCCCUACUCAGAGUUGACAUUAGUUUCUAAGCUGAGUUGUCCCGUCUCUUCGUGGGGUCUCAUACUCCCUAUGCCAAGACACCCAUGAUGAAGUACUCUCCUCCAAACUGUUUGACAACCCAACCCUGGUCACCACCACCAUCCUCUUUCCCUAAGCCUUUGCUGACCUGAGUCAAUUCCCUCACUCUACGACCAUCUACUCCAAAUUCUUCAUGUGUGCUAUUUUAAGAGCCCUUUGACUUGUUAGCAAAGGGCUAGACAUUCGUUCUGAAAUACAAAGUCCAGCAAUGAGUAAGUUUAAGAUUGGCCCUUCCCUGUACCUCCACUAAUACCACUAUGCAUUAUACUCUGUGUUUGCAUCCCUUUCUUAUAAGCAAAGAUGUCCUUGGUGGGGUGAUUUGCUUCCUCUUUCUGGAGCUCUACCUGGCAGCGAUCUGUAAGGGGAGAGCUAGAGAGUAGGGAUUAGGGGCCACCACUCAUUCUUAAGAUUCCCAUCCAAAGCCUAUAAUCCUCCUCCUAACAUCCGAGACGUGUGUGUCUUCUCUUAGACCCCUCUCUUGAUAAGUCCCUGGAAAUAGGCAACAUGAGAUGCAUUCCAUGACACAGUUCAAGCGCAGAGUAGCCUUCCUGCUGCAGCGAUUUGGCUGGAAUGAAGUGAGAACUCUGAUUUUAAAUUUGUGAGCUCACGGGAAAUGAGUAAACCCAGACCUCUGACCCAGGAGACCAGUAAAGCUGAUCAGACAUUUUGGAGCCACAAGAGUCAAGAAAAGGACACAGCGAGUAUCCCAAUGUUGGAAGACCACCUCAACCACGCAAGGCCAGCCUGGUCUGGUGUCCUAUCGCGACUUGAACUGCUUCCUAUCCAGUAACAAAAAGAACCAGGUUAUCCAGAUGGAACUCAGUGUCCGGUCAGCGAUGGACAUGCAGACAGAUGAUUGUACAUCAGGGUGAGUCACACAAUUAUGGCCUCAGUGAGGAGCCAUCAGCUUUUGGAUAGGUCUGGAAAGUUGUCAGAGAUUAUCUCCAAUGUGCUUUCCAUGCAUCUUACGAUCCUCCUGGCCUAUUUGAGACCAGAUGGUCAGUAACCUUAAACAUAUGGGAUCUUGUCUUGGCCAAGUGUCAAAAGCUGACUUGAUCUCAAAGUACCAUUUGUGGUCUUCAGAUCAGUGCUCACUUAGCCAACAAGGCUUCACAUUAAGUAAACAGGUGGAAAAUAGCACAUCAUGACUCAGACACCAGCCAAGCAACAGCUCAUGGCAACACAGCCUACACAUUACCGGGCCUCACGGAAACGUCCGUGAGGCUCCAAUCACCAUACGUGCUCUGGCCACUCCAGGAAACGAAUAGUUUCUACAUGAUGUGCGUAGUCAUUUGCAAGACCCAUGGCCAGCCCAGAAGGAACUCAGCCUGAAUCACUGAGGGGUAAGCCAAAAGAUCUUGGUGCAGAUACUGGUUUUAAGACAGUUCAAGCUUUCUCCCAGACUUCCCACUUAUCCACAUGACCGACCGCAAUCCCCGAGCUCGUAGUCUACCUUCUGAAGACCUUCUCCACACCCGUUCCCUUCCCCAUCAACCCCUCAUUUCCUUUCUUUCCCUAACAGGUCUCCCAGGGAGGGAAACGUGAGUCUGAGGGAAGGGGCCAAAGUCUCUUCUGCCUAGGGAACAUAUGCUGAUGCUUCAAUUGCUCAGAGGUCCCCAACGCCCAAAUGGAACAACCAAGCUCUUUCCCCUUAAUUUUCAGAGGCCCACGCAGUUUAGAGAAAAUAUGCUCCAUGUGUUUCUGAUCCAUCUCCAAGCAGCUCAUCCAGACCCUGGGUUUUAAUAGUUUGUAGAUACACAUGAUCCAUUUGGAGGCAACUUUACAAGCCUUCCAUGCUUUCAUUUAUAUUGCAGGAGGAAGCUAGGCUGUGCCAAGAGUAAGUGUACUGGCAUCUUCGAAGGUUCACAUUAGGCCCACAGCGCUGAAACCUGGUUGAGUACAGGCCAUCUUUUGAGAAGGGGCUCGCUCAUCUUUGCCCAGACUCUAGACCUCAAAAAGGAAGUUUUCAUGGGGGUGGGGUGAACUCAGUGUCUCCAGACAUUUCACCCUCCUGAAUUUCGGCUCUCCUCAGAGCUUAAUAGUGUUGGAGCAGAAGGCAGUACCCCCAGAGAGGCUCAUCUGUCAUAGUCUUUGGAGGUAGUUGAAAUGAACUUUGAGCAUAGAAGCAUUAAUUUUGUUUUCUGGUUGGGAGGUGUUGUGGGAGGUUCAGGGCAACAGGAGAAAGGGAUAACACUCCCUGGUGCUAACAGGUACAAUUAGCUCCCCAACUGUCAACACAGUUGACAGUAGUAUGUCCCUCUCCCAGGGCUACAGCAGGGAACAUCCUUGAGAAUCAGAACCCAGGCCAUUUGAACUUAGUAUGAGUAACCAAGAAGAAUGGAAGGAAACAGUCUUUCCAGAGAGCCACAUACUUGGAACAGAAAGAGGGAGGGGACACAGACUGUCAGUAGAACACAGCAAGCCAUGCAACACUUCUUUCAUGUUGGAAGACUUCAGCCAAAGUAUAAAAUGUGCUGCUCAGGGCUCGCUCAGAUCUUCCCUCCAGCUGUGGGACAGACAUGUGGUGUCUGUGUGGAGAGAAGAGUGUGUAUAGGCAAAUCAGGAUGUAGUGUGCCGGGAACCAUCCUGCCUCACCCCUAUCAUGGGGCUAGCAGGGCCGAAAGCAGGUACACAGCAAGGCUGGGAAUCUCAGGAUCCAGAGGAAUCCAGAUUUGCACCCCCCCAGUCUACCACCUAGAGACUAAGUGAGCUUGGUCAAACCUCUCCCUGAAUAUGGGUAUUUGAACAAAGCAGCGUCUUCAGUGAUGGGGGGAAGCAAGGAAACAUGAAGGUGUUUAGGAAAGGGUGACGUGUGAGUGGUGACAGGGCCAGCAUUGUUCGGUCACAGACCACACACACUUCAGGGGACUAUACUCUGCAAACUGGUUAUGGGGUCUUAGCCCAUCUAAAGGUGGGCAAGGUACUGUCUUCUUUGGAACUUGUGUAGUAGGCGUAUGAAGCUCAAGGAAGGGACAUUAACAGGUGAGCCUGAGGCCCCCAGGCCCUAGGUUUAUGUCCCCACCCUGCAAUGUAAGGCAAGUUGUUGACUCUUUCUGGACCUUGGCUGCUACAACUAGAUAAAAGGGACUUAUGGGCAAGAAUUACAGGAGAAAAUCACUGUGAAAGUGUCAGGUACGAAGCCGGUCGGCACACCUUUAAUCCCAGCACUCAGGAGGCAGAGGCAGGCGGAUCUCUGUGAUUUUGGGACCAGCCUGGUCUUCAAGAGUUACUUCCAGGACAGCCUCCAAAGCCACAGAGAAACCCUGACUCACCCCCCCCCAAAGAAAAAGUGUCGGGUACCACAAGGCAGCCAGCACUGACACAAGGCAGUCAGCCUCAGGAGCUCGGGAUCGCCAGCGGGAAGGAAUGGGGGUUAUGGAGACAGCGUGGGUUUGAGAAGGGCACAGAUGUCCUCAUCGUCAGCUCUAAGGAAACCACCUCACCGUGCGAUCCUCGCAGUAUAGAACAUCUGCUGUGUUCGAGUGUGAAAUGCCCCCUCCGGGUCCCGUCACCACCUGGGCCACGGCAGAUGAUGCUGGUUUAGGAGGCUGUUGGGAGCUGCAGACGUGGGGUCUAGUUUGGUGGGCACACAGCUGCAGGCACGGAUUCUCGGGGCUAGCUCUCUGUUUUCUGAUGGGCUGAGAUGUGAGCUGACCGCACACAUCCCUGCCACCGUGGAGACACCCACCCACAGUUACACCUUCCUUCUUGGACAUAAAGGGCUGUGUGCCCCGCAAAUCAUGAGGCAGAAUAAAUCGGCAGCAGAGAAGAGAAAAGGAGCUGAUACGCCAUCCCUGGGAAACUAGGAUACCGCACUCAGGCGGCAGAGAUUUUACACUCUAUGUCAUCAGACGUCCACAGCCAAGGACAGAAAUCUCCCUGGGCCUGCAAACAUCAGAGGUGGACUCAGAGGUGUGUCUGUCAGUCACGGAACGAUCUUGGCCAAGUCAUUUCCCGUGAUUUCCCAUCUGCAGAGCAGAACACCAGAGAAAAACGGAGGGGUACUGCAAACCCUUAGCCAACUCUGAAACUACCCUUUUUUUCUUCCUGAAAAUACUAAGUCAGACUGUCUUCACUUUUUCCUGGUGGUGAUUUCUUUGUGACCAAGUAAACAAAAGCAGUGUUGGGCACACCGUGAACCCCUUCUGCUGUCUGACUGCCCGCUGGAACAGGCUAGGAAGAAAACAAAGACUUGGUCUUGGUGGACUCAGAAAAAUAAAACAAAAAACAAAAAAAGAUGUCCUGUUGGAAUUGGUAGCUCACACCUGUGAUUCCAGCACUCAGGGGGCUGAGGUAGGACGAUGGAGAGUUGGAGUUCAAACAGGGCUUUCUGGUGAUAUGAUUAGUCACAAACAAAAACAAACAAACAUAAGGGCCCUCCUCUCUCCCACUCCCCUGCUAUAGGCAGAGGCUGCAGGAGGAAGGCUUACUUCCUCACAGGCUGCUGAGGGGGUGGGAGGGUGCUCCCUCUCACUCCCUGGCCGGCCUUGAGGAGGCUGCCAGCUGCUAACAGAGCCCCUAUUCACAGCUGCCUCCAAAGAGCAACAGAGUGUUUCCCUACUGCAAGCACGGGCUCACAGACACCAGGCUCACAAGGAGUUAUUUUCUUAAGGGCAGAUUUCUUCAAAUUCCAUUUCCUUCUCUCUUGUUGGUGCCCAACCCCCAUAUCCCCAUGACUGCUGAACGGGAGGCUCUGUGGCCAAGCUUUUCUUGGAUCAUGUGAAUUAAGAUCAAUAAAUAUCUGUGCCCGAGCAUGACUUGCCCUGGCGCCUCGCUGUGUUCUAGAACAAGGGCUCUGACUGUGUGCAGCAAGCAGCCUCUCUGCAACCUGAACUGUUACACACGUCUAUGUUGUGUAGGGAUGCUGGGCACUCGGGAGGACAUGACCCUUCCUGGGUGGAAAUGAACCUAGAGGGCACCCUCCCAAGGGGGAUUACUACUCUCGAUGUUCAGGCCAUGUUGGCUGAAACUUUCACUUUAAGAUUUAUGGGGUAUUUCAGGUAUAACUAAGCAGAUGUGUUCUGAGAGCACAGCAUGGUCCUGUGAGAGACCAAAGAGGAGCCUGUCCUUCCUGUCUGGCUCCUGCUUCUUGUCUACUCUCUAAGCCCCUCUUAUCACCUCAUUGAACCCACAGCCCUUUGUAAGGGUCACCCCACAUAGCCCACACUCACCGGGAACUCCCUGUGCACCCCAAGCUUGCCUCAAACUGUCCAGCCUCCCAGCUUGGACUACAGGCGUGAGCCACCAUCUCUGGCUCAGUGAUUGACUCUUUAUCCUCAUUUGACUUACCUUUUCAGCAACAGUUUUUGGUUGAUCUAUCGUUCUUCAUUUCCAAAGGGUCGCUGAGGAGCAUGGGGGUUCCUCUUUCCUUUAGCACCUGGCCUAUAUCCCCUUCUCACUGGUUGACCUGGGAAUGUGUGGAUGAUGGGGGCUGAGUCAUCCAUCUCCACACCUGCCCCUAGGUGUGCAAGCAAUUGACUUCAAAAGCCAUCAUUCUCUUACAUUAAUCAUUUCAGCCCCAACUUCUCACACAGGCCCAGUCCAAAUUAGCAUGCAGCUAUCCAAGUCUCAAACUUAGCACGACCCCAAAGCAACUGACUCCUCCCUCCCACUCCAAUCUGCUCAACUCUUCCUAAAAUACACCCCUCUCUAUUUUCUUUGUUUUAUCUGAAUCUCACGAUCCAAACUCAGGAUUUUUUUUAUUUAUUCACUUGUUCCUUGUCUGUCUUCCUCGCCAGAUUGUAACCAAUCCAAAAGAAUAAGCCAUAGCAUUUCAUGUUCUGUCCCAUGACUCACCCGCUCAAACAAAGAGUGUGUAGUGAAUGAAUAAAUACAGUAAUGCUCACUUUUG